GUUUCUAUGUGCUUUGGAGAUCCUACAGCUUUGGAAUAGCAGGACUGAUGCUUUCAUGUUUAUAACAGAGAUGAGAGAUUUUUGGAUGUGGAUCAACUGAGAGCCCUAAAUCUGGUCUUACUCAGGACUUACCUUGAUUCUCAAAGCUAGCUGUUGAAUGUACAAGCAGAGAUACAUGAAGAUUCACACAAUGACCCAGACUUGCUCCAUCUCUACCUUGACCUGGUACUUGACCAGUGAGUCAGUGAGCCUUAUGGAAUCUCAGCUUCUUCCAGCAGUAAUGUGCAGACAUCAAUUACUACAUCUUCAAAAACUGAGCAAAUCUGAAGAACUACAAUAUAUGUUUCUAUGUAUCAGAUGUGAAAAUGUCAGCAAGACAUACUAUACCAUGACUGAACAACAGCAGCAAAUCCCUACUUUAAAUGUGAGUAUGUAAUAUGUAAUUUCACAUGGAAAUCAGAAUGUAUUUUUAUUGUUUAUUAAUCUCCUAAGCCAGUAACUUUCUCACAAAAUAGUUGCUAUUGAAAUCUGACUUAUUACCUUGGAUAAUUUUUUGUUAGCUGCUAGUGACUUUUUUCUUGUAUUUGUGGACAGAAAUUUUUUUUUUCUUAAGCCACUUAACUUCUGCUGUUUUCCUGAGUCCUUUAAUGAAUGAAUGGAUAUUCUCAUAGACUUAAACAUUUCAGUAUGGAAGUGUGGGCAGGGUGAAAGAGACAAAAUUGGAGGCCUUUCAUUAAAAGAAAAAAAAAAGAAAGAAGAAACAAAAAAACAAAAACAAAGCAAAAAAAUCCUUAUCAGGCUUUUCAGGCCCCAUGAUAGAACAGUAGGAAAAAUUUAAAAAUACCUAUCAUAUCCUAGUCUAUUAUCAAGAGAGUAUAU
rnacentral:lncRNA from 1 species